CAGUAGCCACGGUAAUACGAGGGGGGCAAGCGUUGUUCGGAAUUAUUGGGCGUAAAGGGCGCGUAGGCGGUUUGGCAAGUUUGGUGUGAAAUCUUCGGGCUCAACUCGAAGUCUGCACCGAAAACUGCCGGGCUUGAGUAUGGGAGAGGUGAGUGGAAUUUCCGGUGUAGCGGUGAAAUGCGUGGAUAUCGGAAGGAACACCUGUGGCGAAAGCGGCUCACUGGACCAUUACUGACGCUGAGGCGCGAAAGCUAGGGGAGCAAACAGGAUUAGAUACCCGCGUAGUCCCUGUCUCUUAUAA
rnacentral:rRNA from 1 species